AAACUAGCCAAUAAGUCUGCUUACCUGAACAUGUUUCUUCAGAAAUUCAGAGAAAGCUGACAAUAGUAAAACCAUGCUAUGAGCCUUAAGGACACUGAAGUCAUUAAAGUCCCUGAAAAUAACUAUAAGA